rnacentral:misc_RNA from 1 species
CAACCCUUAAGCUUCUGCUUAGUGUUGGGAACUUACCGAAAGGUAACUCCCUAAAGUCAGUGGCAGAGGUAGAUUCUCCUCUUAGCGUAGUAAAUUUUUCUCGCUUCUGUAGGUGGUCUAGCUCUCGCCAUAAGUCUUAUAUUUUCUAAU